rnacentral:rRNA from 1 species
AACGAACGCUGGCGGCAUGCCUAACACAUGCAAGUCGAACGAUCCCUUCGGGGAUAGUGGCGCACGGGUUCGUAACGCGUGGGAACCUGCCCUUAGGUUCGGAAUAACUCAGAGAAAUUUGAGCUAAUACCGGAUAAUGUCUUCGGACCAAAGAUUUAUCGCCUUUGGAUGUGCCCGCGUUGGAUUAGCUAGUUGGUGGGGUAAAGGCCUACCAAGGCGACGAUCCAUAGCUGGUCUGAGAGGAUGAUCAGCCACACUGGGACUGAGAGACGGCCCAGACUCCUACGGGAGGCAGCAGUGGGGACUAUUGGACAAUGGGCGAAAGCCUGAUCCAGCAAUGCCGCGUGAGUGAUGAAGGACUUAGGGUUGUAAAGCUCUUUUACCCGGGAUGAUAAGGCGAGUACCGGGAGAAUAAGCCCCGGCUAACUCCGG